rnacentral:rRNA from 1 species
GACGAACGCUGGCGGCGUGCUUAACACAUGCAAGUCGAACGGAAAGACCCUGCUUUUGUGGGGUGCUCGAGUGGCGAACGGGUGAGUAACACGUGAGUAACCUGCCCUUGACUUUGGGAUAACUUCAGGAAACUGGGGCUAAUACCGGAUAGGAGCUCCUGCUGCAUGGUGGGGGUUGGAAAGUUUCGGCGGUUGGGGAUGGACUCGCGGCUUAUCAGCUUGUUGGUGGGGUAGUGGCUUACCAAGGCUUUGACGGGUAGCCGGCCUGAGAGGGUGACCGGCCACAUUGGGACUGAGAUACGGCCCAGACUCCUACGGGAGGCAGCAGUGGGGAAUAUUGCAUAAUGGGCGGAAGCCUGAUGCAGCAACGCCGCGUGCGGGAUGACGGCCUUCGGGUUGUAAACCGCUUUCGCCUGUGACGAAGCGUGAGUGACGGUAAUGGGUAAAGAAGCACCGGCUAACUACGUG